rnacentral:rRNA from 1 species
GGACUACCAGGGUUUCUAAUCCCGUUCGCUCCCCUAGCUUUCGCACAUCAGCGUCAGUGUCAGCCCAGCAACCCGCCUUCGCCGCAGGUGUUCCUCUCGAUAUCUACGCAUUUCACCGCUACACCGAGAAUUCCAGUUGCCCCUUCUGCACUCUAGCCCCGCAGUAUCAGUUGACCUUUCCGGGUUAAGCCCGGAGAUUUCACAAGUGACUUGCGGUGGCCGCCUACGCGCCCUUUACGCCCAGUAAAUCCGAACAACGCUUGCUCCCCCCGUAUUACCGCGGCUGCUGGCAC